CCCCCUUCUCCAGGUGUGGAGCAGGACCGCGGCAAGGGUCUGAGCAGAGCGCCCCGUGAAGCAGCCCUCUGUUGAAGAUAUUCAGAGGGAUCAGCUGAAGGAUCUUUGAUGGAGGCUGAAGGGUCCGUGCUGGAAGCCAAGAGACACUGAAGAUGAAAGUGAAGACUGGAGCUCCUCCAAAGAAACAGAAGCUGAGUGGAUGUCAACUUCCUCACCCCUGGUGCGGCUGUCUUUGUUCAAAGGCCUCUGGCAGAGAAGCAACCACCUCCACCUUGGGCAGCCCCUGAUCCGCCAGCUGGUUCCAAUGCAGACAGAAAGCCAGAUAGCCAAUUUGACAAACCGUACUUCCUGAGGCCUGACGCAGGGUCCUGGAGGGUCUCAUUUCUCCACAGAGAAAGUAGCAUGGCUAUAAAUAUUUUGGAUGCUUUUGAGAUCAUAACUAUGUUUUCCCCAGUAUUUUUUCUUCCCUGUCUUCCUUUCAGGCAGAGCUGUCUCUGAGAAAGAUGUGACUUUGGCGGGGUUGUGACUGGGGAUGGGAGAAAAGCAGAUGGUUUUGGCCAUCUCUGGGUUUUAGGUUCAAAUGCCAGCCUCCUUCUGGAAUCUAAAAGAACUCGUGGUUUAGAUAAAAUGCUUGUAAGAAGCCAGAGAAGAGAGAAAAGCUUAUCCCACAAGCCACAAGAGGCCCCAUCCUGUGCGGAAGAGAGCAGGGUAGGGAAAAGCCUGAGAUGGCGCAGGCACUGAGCCCCAGGAAAGGGGCAGAGUCUGGGAGGUGGUAAGGACUGGAGGAGCCCUGGCAAUGAGGCUAGGCAGAUUCCUAUGGCCACAUCUGGCACAUGAGCCAUGGGGGCUCAUGCUGUGUGGGCAGAGAACCAGAGGCGGCCUCCCUCCCUCACAGGCCUUGGCA